AUGAACAACGUGCCCUGAAGUCUGGGAUAUACAGGUGAAAACCUGGGCAAUACCGGAUGUGACAGAAGAUUGGCAUCUUUCUUCUAUCAAAGGAGCAAUUCGCUUCAGGAACGGUUCAUGACUCAUCAGCUAGUUGGUGGGGUAAAGGCCUACCAAGGCUACGAUGGGUAGGGGGUCUGAGAGGAUGAUCCCCCCGAGAGGGACUGAGACACGGCC
rnacentral:rRNA from 1 species